CGGCGAUACGAAACUAACUCGACAAGAACGGGCUUAAUCGGAGUUAAAACGCGGAUUCUAUGGCUAAAACUAGGUCGGUGGCAAGAUAGUGAAUAAACAGAACUAUUUUUCGUAUUUUAAAUAAUUAAAACUGAAUUUUAAAAGCGUUUUGGACUAAAUCUUUAAAUACCAAUGGAUCCAGGUGCUAGAUUGCUAAAAAUAGGACUUAAACCUAAUUAUUUCCGAACUACUCAGAACUGGGUGAACCGGGUUAAUUUAGAAAAACCGCAGGGCUUUUUCGCAAGAUGGCCAGGGUGAACCGGGUUUUGGCCGCGUUGACGGCCACGCGGCGCGGCGGGGUAGGUGGGGUGCAGGAGGCGCGCGCGGGGUGAGCCGCGCCCUAGGUUGGAGCGUGGGCGAGCUGGGCCAGGAGCGCUGGCGGCCCACGCGGCAAGAGUGAGGGGGGGAAGGGAGCUGGGCCGAGGAAGAGGGGGGACGGCCCAGGGAGAAAGAAAACCCUUUUUCUUUUUUUUUAAAAAAAAAUUUGAUUUCUAAACUAUUUUACUAAACCAAUUUCAAAACCAUUUUGAAUUCCUAAUUUGAGAUUAUUUAGGAGCUUGUUUCUUUAAUACUUUUGAAAACCAAGCACAUUUUCCUUAGAUCAUAUCUUUAAAUCAUUUUUCAACUCAAAAUGAAUUUAGUUUUCGAAUAGGACUUUUAGAUUUUUAUUUUUAUUUUUCUUUUCAAAAACCGAAACGGGCUCGAUAGAAAUUUUGAAAUUUAUUUUUUUACACAAGCCAAACAAAGUUAGGGCACAAAGCACACAAUAACAAAACAAAACACCCUUCACUUGUCUUUAUAAAGUUUUAAAAUUCCAAAUUUUUCUCUUUUUAUAAUAACAACAAUUAAUAAAAUCUUGCAAUAUUUUAGAAAAAAUUUAAAUCCUUAUUUAAUUUAGUGUUUUUCAAAUAACAAUCCAAAAAUUAAAAAUUUUGGAGUGUUAUAGAUCUACCCCACUUAACAUAAAUCUCAUCCCGAGAUUUGAAGAAACUAGAGAGAAAGAUAAAGUAGAUCAUCAAAGUUGUUUUGAGACUUUCAAUACAUGAUCAAAGAAUUAAAUAUAGACAUAAAGGGUAGAGAGUAUGGUAAAGAUUGAAGACAAGGAAACAUAAUCGUAUGAGAUAAGAAUUGAUCUUUGGAUCGUGUAUUAUGAUAAGGUGCAAGGGCAAGAAGCAAAUAUUAACAAGAGAUGAUACAUAGGAGAUGGAUAUAAUAUUGCUCACAAUUUCCUUGAUUCCGGGUAUGUAUAAGAUAGUAGACGAAAGGAUAAAGAAUUAGCAGAAGUUGACAAAGACUUAGAUUUUUUUUUUAAGUCUUCACGCUUAAUCAUUUGUAGUCCUAUGAGACGUAGGAUCAAAGAUCGUCGAUUGGCAAACAUGAUAAGGGUUCAUCGCAAGAAUGAUAAAGAUUCUUAUAUAGUUCUCCAUGUCUUUCUGAUUAGAGAUUUUCGAGAGUGAUGAUCGUAGCGAAUGCUGCCCCACUUAGACCAAGUGUUUGCUCAUCUUCAAAACUCCUAUAUAAGAACAAUCAUCUUGUCCGUAGAUAAUCUGCAAAGUUUUCCUUUGGAGGUUACUAGUUCGACAAUACACUGCACCUCUUAAGAUUUGAGGGACACGAAGAGAAACAAAAAGAUGAUUAGAAAGAAUAGAUUGAAAUAAUCUCAGGUAUCUCAAUAAAGGUGUGAGACUUAAACCAAAAGUCGAUAAGGUUAUCUAGUAGAAGGUUCUUGAACAGUAUCUAGAAAAGCAACCCAAGGGGUCUGUUAAGAUUGACCAUAUAUCGGUAUGGUUUUCAUCUGACUUUCAGGUUAUGCAUUUUGUCACGUGAUAGUCCAUCAUAUAUUCCAGGGUGAAAAAUAAGUCUUAUCUUAGGACCUCGGUUUCUUAAUGCCUUGCUUUGAUAGGUCAACAGGCAUCACACUUUCUAUGAUACUUGGUGCUUCUUUGUGGUCUCCAUAGAUGAGUUCUAAGCAGAUUUGACCUACUACUUGCAGUGUUGGG
rnacentral:lncRNA from 1 species